UUAUGGCAGCACUAUGGGCAGCCUAUGGCAUUAUGGGAUUGUUAUCGGGGUAUGGGGUCGGUACUUUACUUAUGGGGCAGCACUUAUGGGGCAGCUAUGGGGCUAUUAUGGGGUUGUUAUGGGGUUAUGGGGUGGUACUUAUGGGGCAGCACUUAUGGGGCGGCUAUGGGGCUAUUAUGGGGUUAUUAUGGGGUUAUUAUGGGGUUAUGGGGUUAUUAUGGGGUUGUUAUGGGGUUAUUAUGGGGUUGUUAUGGGGUUGUUAUGGGGUUAUUAUGGGGUAGUUAUGGGGUUAUUAUGGGGUUAUUAUGGGGUUAUUAUGGGGUUGUUAUGGGGUUAUGGGGUUAUUAUGGGGUUAUUAUGGGGUUAUUUAUUAUGGGGUUAUGGGGUUAUUAUGGGGUUGUUAUGGGGUUGUUAUGGGGUUAUUGUGGGGUUAUUAUGGGGUUAUGGGGUUAUUAUGGGGUUAUGGGGUUGUUAUGGGGUUAUGGGGUUGUUAUGGGGUUAUUAUGGGGUUAUUAUGGGGUUAUUAUGGGGUUAUUAUGGGGUUAUGGGGUUAUUAUGGGGUUAUUAUGGGGUUAUGGGGUUGUUAUGGGGUUAUGGGGUUAUUAUGGGGUUAUUAUGGGGUUAUGGGGUUGUUAUGGGGUUAUGGGGUUAUUAUGGGGUCGUUAUGGGGUUGUUAU
rnacentral:lncRNA from 1 species